rnacentral:rRNA from 1 species
AGAGUUUGAUCAUGGCUCAGGACGAACGCUGGCGGCGUGCCUAACACAUGCAAGUGGAGCGACGAACCAGGGCUUGCCCUGGGGCAGAGCCGCGAACGGGUGAGUAACACGUGGGUCACCUGCCUCGAUGACUGGACAACCCGAGGAAACUCGGGCUAAUACCGGAUGUGCCCGCAAGGGAAAGGAAGCUUCGGCCUCCGCAUCGAGAUGGGCCCGCGGCCCAUUAGCUUGUUGGUGAGGUAAAGGCUCACCAAGGCUCCGAUGGGUAGCUGGUCUGAGAGGACGAUCAGCCACACUGGGACUGAGACACGGCCCAGACUCCUACGGGAGGCAGCAGUGGGGAAUCUUGCGCAAUGCGCGAAAGCGUGACGCAGCAACGCCGCGUGGGGGAAGAAGGCUUUCGGGUUGUAAACCCCUUUCAGUUGGGACGAAGCUUCGCCGGUGAAUAGCCGGCCGGAGUGACGGUACCUUCACAAGAAGCACCGGCUAACUACGUGCCAGCAGCCGCGGUAAUACGUAGGGUGCAAGCGUUGUCCGGAAUUAUUGGGCGUAAAGAGCGUGUAGGCGGCCCGAUUAGUCCGCUGUGAAAGUCCAGGGCUCAACCCUGGAAUGCCGGUGGAUACUGUCGGGCUAGAGUCCGGAAGGGGCGAGUGGAAUUCCUGGUGUAGCGGUGAAAUGCGCAGAUAUCAGGAGGAACACCAAUGGCGAAGGCAGCUCGCUGGGACGUGACUGACGCUGAGACGCGAAAGCGUGGGGAGCAAACAGGAUUAGAUACCCCGGUAGUCC